GAUGAACGCUGGCGGCGUGCCUAAUACAUGCAAGUCGAGCGAACGGACGAGAAGCUUGCUUCUCUGAUGUUAGCGGCGGACGGGUGAGUAACACGUGGAUAACCUACCUAUAAGACUGGGAUAACUUCGGGAAACCGUAGCUAAUACCGGAUAAUAUUUUGAACCGCAUGGUUCAAAAGUGAAAGACGGUCUUGCUUUCACUUAUAGAUGGAUCCGCGCUGCAUUAGCUAGUUGGUAAGGUAACGGCUUACCAAGGCAACGAUGCAUAGCCGACCUGAUAGGGUGAUCGGCCACACUGGAACUGAGACACGGUCCAGACUCCUACGGGAGGCAGCAGUAGAGAAUCUUCCGCAAUGGGCGAAAGCCUGACGGAGCAACGCCGCGUGAGUGAUGAAGGUCUUCGGAUCGUAAAACUCUGUUAUUAGGGAAGAACAUAUGUGUAAGUAACUGUGCACAUCUUGACGGUACCUAAUCAGAAAGCCACGGCUAACUACGUG
rnacentral:rRNA from 1 species